rnacentral:rRNA from 1 species
UGGGGAAUAUUGCACAAUGGGGGGAACCCUGAUGCAGCCAUGCCGCGUGAAUGAAGAAGGCCUUCGGGUUGUAAAGUUCUUUCGGUGACGAGGAAGGCGUGAUGUUUAAUAGGCAUCACGAUUGACGUUAAUCACAGAAGAAGCACCGGCUAACUCCGUGCCAGCAGCCGCGGUAAUACGGAGGGUGCGAGCGUUAAUCGGAAUAACUGGGCGUAAAGGGCACGCAGGCGGCUAUUUAAGUGAGGUGUGAAAUCCCCGGGCUUAACCUGGGAAUUGCAUUUCAGACUGGGUAGCUAGAGUACUUUAGGGAGGGGUAGAAUUCCACGUGUAGCGGUGAAAUGCGUAGAGAUGUGGAGGAAUACCGAAGGCGAAGGCAGCCCCUUGGGAAUGUACUGACGCUCAUGUGCGAAAGCGUGGGGAGCAAACAGGAUUAGAUACCCUGGUAGUCCACGCUGUAAACGCUGUCGAUUUGGGGAUUGGGCCUUGAGCUUGGUGCCCGAAGCUAACGUGAUAAAUCGACCGCCUGGGGAGUACGGCCGCAAGGUUA